GCUCUGGGAAGGGGAGGGGAAGGCACGUAACCUGCUACUCUAGCGCCACCCAUCCCUCAUUACCUCUGCCCUGGUCCCCCUCCCGGUCUCUCUCCAGAGCCAUUGGGUGGGGCCUGUCGAGGGCCGCCGCCUCGCCCACCUUCCAUAGUCAAGCCGGGAGUGGAUAAGUGCUCAUUCCCGGGGAGGCCCCGGGGACCGGACAAGCCAGGGGCAGAAGAGGGUUCUGCAGAAGCCGGGGUACCAGACCCACACUGGGCGCGCCCAUAUGUGAAUAAGUGGGCGGGGCCCUCGUGGUGGUAAACGGGGGCGGGGUGCGAGAUGUAAAUAAGCCCUGGGCGGAGAUCUUUUCUGAGCAUUAGGGCCUGGGAAGGGGAUGCCAGGUAUUUUUCUUUAACCGAGUCCUCAGUUCUGCCUUUGUUGAAGAUGGUGCCGUUUAUGCAUGCUCUAACUGAUUCUUGUGAAGGCUAAAGUAUAAGUGCCUGGCACGAUGACCCUUAACUGCUGAGUUAUCGUCCUUUCUUAUUUCUGCACUGUUCAGGCAAUGCUCUUAGGCCCCAACAUCACGCGUCUGCAGUACAAGCCGCUAAGCUGCUGACUGCCCAAAGCUGGUGGGGUCAUAACCGCACUUACGUAACCUUAUCGCUUUUGCCUUUCGGACCCCCGUCACCUGCUGAAACACUGAACCCAACUAAUCACAUCAAGCACUUUAUUAAGCACCUACAAUGUUAGGCAGGGAGCACCAUAGAACUAAAGUUAAAAAGAAACUUAGGUCUCACGUAGUUGGUGGCAGAGACAAGACUAAAACAGAGUUGUCUGGUUCACUGUCCAGCACUCCUUCUCAUGUACUCCAUACUUCGUGGAUUUAACAGGGGACUCAAGAUAAAGCGUCACUACCAAUUCAAAUCAGUAAGCAGGAAGUACCAAACGACCAUUUCAAACAGUAAGAGUGCUUAAAAUAUACUCUUUCUUUUCAGAAGUGAAGGCAUCCCUGAGGAGAGUACCUUCAGAUGGACCUGGAGAGAGAUUUGGCCAUCUUCUGAGUCUUACAGAAGAUACAACUCAUAUUCCAUCUUUACUCUGCUAAAUCUAUGAAGCUCUUCCUGGUUACUCCAGCCCAAAGGAAUCACUCACCUAUGAGUUUUUUCUCAUGAUUGUAAAUUCCUGAAGGACAAGGACAAUGGCUUGUUCUCAGUUGUUUUCCCACACCCUAAGAUAAAAAAACACCAUGUAAUUGAAGAAAUGUGAAAUGCAGCAUUUGCAUAGCAGAAGGCUGUAUGUGUGUCAGAGGUCUGCAAGCAUUCUACACCACUUUGCCCCGUCUUUCCAGUUUGUAGUUGCCCUCAAUAUAAUUAUUGAGUAUCUUGUGACCAUCUGAUCUCUAUAUUUGCUCAUCCUCUUGGAACUAAGUUGUAGUGAACAUUACAUUUUAAAGAUCCAGUUAUUUGCAACUGAAAGGACACUGAUUAAAUGAGGUAAUCUAAGUAAAAAUUGUAAAGAGCAAAUGUGUGGGGUUACUUUUGUUGUAAAUGAUAAAGAAGAAACCCAACACCAGCUGGAUUUUUAUCUUAAUACAAUGAAAUUUCAUAUUUUAAAUGAACUUAUGUUGAAGAUGUGUACACCUGCCUCUACAAACAUAGCCACAUACAGAAUCCUCAUUCACAUGCUAAUUUUUAUUAAUAAUUAAAAAUAUUUAACAUCUGAUGGGAAAUGCUGGAGGCAAGAAUAAAGCAGAUACAAGACAAAAGAUUAAUUUCAGCAAGUAUUUAUCAGGUAUCUGUUAUGUGCCUAUCAUAAAAGCAUUGGUUGAUCAUGGUGGGUAAUUCUCAUUCCAUGGCCAAAAUCAUUCAAGAAAACAAAGCAUGCAAGAAAGUUUUUUUUUGUUUUUUUGUUUUUUUGUUUUUUUAGAUUUAAAGAGAAUGAGAUUGGGAGAGAAGUUGGCAAUGGUAGAGAGAAAAACAUUUGGAGAAAAGUUAUUUUUCUCAUCAUUCUCCAGGCAUCUGAUAAUUAAUGUUUCUUUACAUUUAAAAGCAUAAAGAAUCAUUUGAUAAUUUAUCAUUGGAUAGCUAAUCUAAUGAUUGUUCAAACAUUACCUGGAAAAUUGCAAUACAAUUCCAAUGCAAUGAUCACUCCCAUAAGGCAUUUAAACAGUAUCUGAAAUCUACAUAUUUUGGAAAAACUAAACAGGGACCAGUAUCUAAACCCUGGAAGAACAAUGGACAAAUUUUUAAAGUUCUGUUGUGAAGGGGAUAAUUCAGUAGUCAUAUGUCAACAAUAAGACCAUAUGCCUUGUUUAUAAUUGUCUGUGUGACAAUAUUGACCGAGCCAGGCUGCUGCUAGGCAAGAUAAGCAUGAAGGUAUAAUACUCUUGGAAAAUUUCAAGCAUAUUAGCAUAAUUGCUCUGAUGAAGACUAAAGAGCUUAUUUAGCAUAACUGGCUAGGGUAGACAAUAGAGGCAUAAUCAGUGUCCUAAUGAUUGCAUUAAUAAGCCCCAAUUGUUUGUCCUUACUGUAAACAGUCCUCAGCUAUGAAAAAGACAUUUUGCCAAAAGAGUCUGACAGUUGUGUUAGAUGAUGAGUCGCCAGGAUGUAAUGAAUGAUGGGAGAGAGCUUAUUACUGUUGGGUCAUAAAGACUUCAGGAGUCUUUCAAGAGGUGAAUUAUAUAGCUCUGUAGAAGUUUCUUAUCAGUUCCUCCUUGCCUUCGUACAAUAAUGGAGCCUGAUCAAUUCUCUUACUCUGCAGCUAAGGAAACCAAGAGCCAGGCUCUUCCAAAGCCCUAUGGCCACUUAGCGCCAGGGGUUAUACAUACAGAGUCUACCUCUCCUGCUCGGACACUGCCUGCUGACCCUCUUACCUGUCCCUGGUCUAUUCCCUCACCCAUGCCUUUGCCACCCUCUCCAGUCUCCCUUUUCUCUUCUAUGCAUACGUCCUGACCAACUAUUUCGCAGUGAAAAUAGGGGCAAAUAUCCUCUCCACACCUAAACCCCAACACCAGACAAAUAUGUCUGUCUCCCAGUCUGUUCACCCAGCCAUUUCUUGUGGGCGACCAGCUCCUCCUCCUGGGGAAGUCUUUCGCUUCUACCCAUCCUCUGUUCCCUUGACUACCCAGCCUACAUUAGAACCACCGCCCUCCACACCAGUCACACUGUCAUAUCACCUUCUAAAAUUUGUCUUCAAAACGCUUAUCAUUAUCUGGACUUAUCAUGUUCAUUUAUUUCUGUACUGAUUUAUCAUUUGUCACUUCUUCCUAUCGAAUGUAAGCUCUAUAAGAACAGGAAACAUGUCUGUUGUUUGCUGGAGCAUCGCCACUCAAGCGUGUCUAUUUUGCUCACCAUCUUGUCCCUGAUUCAAGCAUACGUGGAGGCACUCAAUACAUAUUUUUGAAUGGAUGGAUAAUUUCCCCUCAAAUUCACUCCAACUCAAAGCAUGUGAAAACUGAAAUCAUCUCCUGUCUUCCUCUCUGGAUGUGUUCUAGCCCAGUCCCCGAGAAAACAGAGCCUGAUGCGAGGAUGCUGAUGCUUGAUUUAAGAGAUAUUAUCCCAGGGCAGGGACAGGGGAAAGGCAAGGAAGCCUGGCAAGCAAUGCAUAGUGCUGCAUUACUGGGCUGAACACUGCUUCAUGACGAGCCCUGAGGAGAUGCAGCCAGUCCCUUGACAGGUACAACCAGUUGACCAGACAGACACUAUGGAGGAAUCAUGCCUUGGAACAAUCUGAGGAAGGAAGGAAUUUUAUCUUUAUGUCUCCUGUCUCCACUUGGUCAAACUUGAUUCCACAGGGAGCAAACUUUCCCAUACUUACCAGUUUUGCUAUCCGUAUUAUUUAAUAGCCACUUAGAAAGCCAGAUCCCUCCCUUCCCUGGAGUCCAGAAGAGAUGGAAAGAAACUACUGGUAUGUGUCUGGUCUGCCUUGGGCAGUCAGACCACACCCUAAGUCACUCAUAGUGGCAGCUGAGUCAGAGCAAGAGACCCAGAAAAUCGAAGACACAUACACAGGGCCUAACAUAGAGCUGUUGUCACCACAGCAAAGGUAGGAGCAGGUCUGCCUUAUUCACUGCAUUGUACCCAGCACCUCCCACAAUGAGUCGCUAAUUAAAUUUUUGUUGAAGGAGUAGUUGCAUGCAUACAUGACGUCACCAUCUCUGCCUUAUUCAAGACAAAACCUUGAAGUCAUGCAUGAUCUUCCUUCUUUCUUAAUUCCUGUAUAUCAAAAUGAGGAGGAAAAUUCCUCUCGGCUCUCCCUCCUUAAUACAUCGCAGACCCAGUGCCUCUUGCCCAAAGCUCACUGCCUUGAUUCAGACCUUCAGUAUCUUUCAGUGGAAUGACUGCUGGAGCCCCUUAACUGGUCUUCCCAUCUGUAGUCUUGCUCUCCUCCAGUUCAUUCUUCCUGCUUCCUUUUUUAAUAGCAUAUUUUCUAAAUGCAAGUCUGAUAAUGUCACUAUCUUGGUUAAAUUGAUAGAGAUUUUUUUAAGGUAGAAUCAAAAAUCUUUAGCAUAACCUAAAAGAUCCUUCAUGAUCUGUCCUAGGCUAGUCUCUCUAGCUUUACACCUCACCGCUCCCCACCUUGCACUUAUACCCGAGCCAGACUGGAUUCCUGACAUUUUCCCAGUGCACCAUGCUGUCUCAUUGCUCAAUGCCUAUGCUGUGCUCUUUGUUCUGCCUGGAAUGCAUUUGUGCCUGAGGAACCUCUACUCAUACUUCAAAACACUGUCUCCAUGUAGCCCCAUUCAUCCACUGAUCAGUCCGUCCAUCUGCCCACUCACGCAUCCAGUAUUCAUUGUAACAGUCAGAUUUCUUGUUGCAAGCAGCAGAAGAAACUGACUUUGCCGGCUUGAGGAGAAAAGAGAAUUUGUGAAAGAAUAUUGGGUGGCUGACAAUAUUUCUGGGAAGUCUGCAGACACAGGCUCAGACAGUAAGCAAGAACAAGGAAGUCUGGGCAGCAGCUUGGAUCGCAACCAAUAUCACAGCACAGCACAUCGAGGGAGGCCACCACCUCCACUCAGAACAGGAUACCUCAGCUGACCUUCCGGUUCCGUGGCACUGAACACAGGUACCACCCACCACUGGCAUUCCCAGCUCUGUUGCUCUGGAAACCGGAUGUCACUGCAGUGCCCAUUACUGCCACCAGAACGGAUUCUCCACCAAACCUACGUUGCAUUACGGGAGCUCCCUCUUCGAAGCCUGUGGCGAAUCCAUUAGGUUUACUAAGCUUAACGUGUUCCUUGCGCUAGUUGUUGGUAGGUGUGGCAAAGUAUGUAGUAAUUGGCUUCUAUGUAGUAAUUGGGAUCUACUUCUUUCCAGCAAUGACUAGAUAAUCCCACCCAAAAAGGAAAGAGGGUCAGAUUUGGGGAAUCCCCCAGAUGACAAAUGUCCACUAUGUUCUCAGAUUUGCUCAACAAAUAAAUUUAUAUCUGCCCGUGCCAGGUUGUCUUUGAGGCACUAGGGAUACAGAAAUGAUUGUGGUGACUGCACCCACUUUGAUGUAUGGUCAAAAAGACAGAAAAUAUCAAGUGUUGGCAAGGAUGGAGAGAAAUCAAUGGGAGGAAUAUAAAAUGGUGGACUUUUGAAAACAGUCUGAAGUUCCUCAAAAGAGAUUAAAGAGUAACCAUAUGAUCCAACAGUUCCACUCCUAGGGUACCCCCAUGAGAAAUGGCAGCAUGUGCCCAAAAUAUUACCGACAGUCGUUCAGAGCAGCAUUAUUCAUAAAAGCCAAAAAAGUGGAAACAGCUGAAGUGCCCGUCAACUGAUGAAUGGACAAAGACCCCACGGUGCAAUAUUAUUUGGCUAUGAAAAGGAAUGAAGUACAGAGGCAUGCUAGCACGUGGAUGAACCUUGAAAACAUUAUGCUCAGUGAAAGAAGCCAGUCACGUUGGUAGGAAACAUCCAGCAAAGGCAAAUCUACACAGACAGAAGGUGGUGGUUGGCCAGGUCUGCGAGUGGAGGGGGCUCGGAUUGGGAGGACUGCUAACGGAUACAGGGUUCCUUGCUGGAGUAAUAAAACUACUCUAAAAUUAAACUGUGGUGUUAAUUGUAUAAAUCUGUGAAUACUAAAAACUAUUGCAUACUUCAAAUGAGUGAGUUGUGCAGUACGUGAAUCAUGCCUCUAUAAAGCUUUUUUUAAAAAAAGAAUUAGAUAGAAAGCCUCUCCUUCCUCAAGUAGCUGACAUGCUUGUGGGACAGCAAACAACCAGGAACCCAUACAACUUCGACUAAUGGUUACGCCUUGUCCUCACUCUGACCUCUUCUUUCUUUAUUCCUGGAGGGGGAACAGAUCCCCGUCUCCCCGACACAGCACUUUCUAUACUUUUUAAUCGCCUUUCUCUGAAAAAUUGUACCCUUGAGGUAGGGUGUGUCUCUUUGAACUUUGAGUCAACAGGGCUAGAUACAGUGCCUGGCUUGUAGAGGACUUGUAAUAAUCGUUUGUUGAAUGGUGAAUAAAUGACAGAGCCAGGACUGGA